rnacentral:tRNA from 1 species
AAAAAUUUAGUUAAACUAUAACAUUAGCUUGUCGAGCUAAAAUUACUACCUAUUUAGUAAUUUUUA